rnacentral:lncRNA from 1 species
AAUUUGUAAUUUUUGAACAUUUAUAUCUAGGGUAUUUUCAACUUUUUGAUAUGAAGCAUAUUGACUGGGAUAAAUAUCUUUGUUUCAAUAUUUAGUCUCAACAUUAAUUUUAUUACCUUAGGAUAGGUUCUAAAGCAUGGUAUUACAAUGCAAGAACAUGAUCUAUAAAGUGACUAUUGAUACACUGCCAAACUUACCUUCAAAGAAUUUCUGUCCACUUUCAGUUUUCCUCCUCAUCCUCAGCAAUGAAGUAUCCAUUGCAUCUGUAAUUAAUUAUAAGAAUUGUUCUAACUUUACUAAGAUUAAAUGCUUGAUAAACAUUAAGCGAUGUCUCAUUCUUUCAUCCUCUCCUAUUAUCUUUCCAAAGGAACUUCAGAGUAAUUUUAUUAUAUUAAAAGAAAAAGGGAAUUCCCAUUAUGGCUCAGUGGAAAUGAACCCAGUUAGUAUCCAUGAGGAUACAGGUUCGAUCCCUGGCCUCACUCAGUGGAUGAGGGAUCCGGCGUUGCCAUGAGCGGUGGUGUAGUUUGCAGAUGUGGCUUGGAUCUGGUGUUGCUAUGGCUGUGGCGUAAAGGGUGGUAGCUGCAGCUCUGAUUUGAACCCUAGUCCAGGAACUCCCAUAUGCCGCAGGUGCAGCCCUAAAAAUAAAAAAAGAAAAAGAAAAAGAAAAGAAAAAGUAAAAGAAAGCAGAGGGGAGGUAGAGUGGAAGAAGGCAGGGAGGGAUCGAGAGAGAGAAAAAAGAAAACAAAAGAAUUCCCAUUAGGAUUUCUAUCAGUUAAAAAAUCCUGUGGUACUUAAAACAUAGGGUUUUGCUGUGGCUCGGGUUUCUGCUGUGGUAUAGGUUCCAUCCCUGGCCCAGGAUCUUCCUCAUGCUGUGGGCACAGCCAAACAAAGUACCUUCAUCAUACCUGAAUACACAUUUAUGAAACCAAAUCAGAAAUAUUUGGAGUGGCCAAAAAAUGUAAUUCUCCUUUCAUCUGCAUUCCACCCCCCAACUUACUUCUUAGUUAUCUCCAAAUCUCUCCAGAGAUCAAAUUUUUAGCACAUAUUGUAUCAGGUUAAAAAAUAUCCUUAUAAUUUAAAUUUUUAGAUGUAGACACAUAUAAAUUUUUUAGAUUCAUUUGUGUUUUCUUUUCUAGUCUUGCUUUGGAAAUUAUACAUACUCUAUUCCUCCAAUAAUUAUUUUAAAAACCUAGUGCUCCUAUUUAUUUUUCACUCAGUGUAUAGAGUUAAACCGUAGUUAUGUCCUUUCCAAAUAAUAAGACUAAUGUCUUAGGAAAUUCUUCCCCUUUCUCUCCAUUUCCUACCAUAAGGAAAUCAUCGGGGGUUUUAAUUCCAGCUUUCAUGCGUUUAUUUACAUUACGUAUUGUAACUAUUUAUACUUAACUACCAUCUUUCUACACAAGGGUUUUUGGUGCUCCACUUUUUUUCUUCCUUCCAAGUUUUAUUUUUCUGAAAUACGUUCUCAAGCAAUUUUUUCAGAAAGGCGCUGAACAUGAUAAACUUUCAGAACACUUUCGAGGAAAUCUUUAUUUUGUUCUCCCGUUUGAAUGCUGGCUGAUAGGGUGUAUACUUUUAUUAUUUACUUAUUUACUUAUUUUUGUCUUUUAGGGCCACACCUGCAGCAUAUGGAAGUUCCCAGGCUAGGGGUCCAACCAGAGCUGUAGCUGCCAGCCUUGGCCAGAGCCACAGAAAUGUGGCAUCCUAGCUACGUCUUCGACCUAUCCCACAGCUCAUAGCAACGCCAGAUCCUUAACCCACCGAGCAAGGCCAGGGAUAGAACCCACAUCCUCAUGGAUCCAGUCAGGUUUGUUAACUGCUGAGCCACGAUGGGAACCAUGGGUGUAUACUUCUAGAUUAAAAAAUUCUUUCAUCUGAGAAUUUUGAAGAGUUACCCCAUUAUCUUCCACCUUGCUUAUUCAUUCUUCUGCCUCCUGCUUCUAGGGAAUUUUUUUUUAUUUCAGUUAUUGUAUUUUGCAUCUCUUCUUGUUUAAGUUUUAAAUCUUGUAUCUCUUUGGUCAGUGUUUCCUGUAAGUUAUCCAUCUUUGCCUCCAGUUUAUUUCCAAUGUCUUGCAUCAUCUUCAGCAUCAACAGUCUAAAGUCUUUUUCCUGGAGGCUGAGAAUCUCCUCAUCNNNNNNNNNNNNNNNNNNNNNNNNNNNNNNNCUUAGCUGAUUUUCUGGGGUUUUUCCUUUCUCCCUCAUCUGAGUUAUAGUUCUCUGUCUUUUCAUUUUUAUAGGUUUUUGGUGUGGUGAUCUUUUUACAGAUAAUAGAGUUGUAGCCUCUCUUCCUUCUGGUGUCUGCCCCCCUUGUGGCUGAAGCUGGUAGGGGGCUUGCUAUAGGUUUCCUGAUGGGAGGGACUGAGGGUGCCCACUGGUAGGUGGAGCUGAUUCCUGUCCCUCUGGUGGGUGGGGCUUUGUCUCUGGGUGAGAUUAGAGGUGGCUGUGUGCCUGGGGGUCUUUAGGCAGCCUGAUGGGCGGGGCUGCGAUCCCACCUGGAUUGUUAUUUGGCCUGGGUCUUCUCAGCACUGAUGAGGGCUAGGUUUUCCCAAAAUGGCCCCCUCCAGAGAAAGGCACGGCUGAUGAAUAUUCCCAAGACCUUUGCUUCCAGUGUCCCUCCCCCACAACAAGCCACAUUCACACCUGUUUUCCCAGGAGGUCCUCCAAGAACUGCAGUCAGGUUUGACCCAGAUUCCUAUGGAGACUUUGCUUUGCCCUGGGACCCAGUGCACGUGAAAGUCUGUGUGUGCCUAUUAAGAAUGGGGUCUCAGUUUCCCCCAGUCCCAUGGAGCUCCUGCGCACAAGCCCCACUGGCCUUCAAUGCCAGAUGCUCUGGGGGCUCUUUCUCCCAGUGCCAGAUCCCCGCAAGUGAGGGUUUGAUGUGGGGCUCGGAACUCUCACUCCUGUAGGUGAGUCUCUGUGAACCAGUUAGUUUCCAGUCUGUGGGGCUUCCCACCCAGGAGGUAUGGGGUUGCUUAUAUCAUGUAAUCGCCCCUCCUACCUCUAUGAUGUGGCCUCUUCUUUUUCUUCUGGAGUAGGAUAUCUUUUUUAAGGUUUCCAGUCAAUCUUCCGGUUGAAGAUUGCUCAGCCUUUAAUUGUGAAUUCUGUUGUUUUUGGGAGAGAAGUUGAGCUCCAGUCCUUCUAUUCUGCCAUCUUAAUCCCGUCUCCCCAUUAUCUUCCAUCAUCCAGUGUUGCUGAUAAGAAGGCUAUUGACAAUCAAAUUUUCCGUGUUGUUGUUUAAAACAAGUGUAAUCUUUCAGGCCUAUUUUCAGUGUAAUGCAUGACUCUGAGAGUGAUGCCCCUUACACCUCUGCCCUAGACCCAGCUCUGAAGCCAGACACUGCAUGCAUAUGCUCUAGAAAUAACAGAAAACAAGGUAGACAGGGUCUCUGUCUGUACGGAGAAUAUAUUUGAGGGUUGGGGCUAAAAAAGACAAGAGUAUAAAUGAGUGAAUACACAAAGUCAGUCAUGUGAAAAGAAGGAAAGGAACAUGUUGCUGUAAAUGAGAACAAUGGGUCGGUGUGUAGCUUCUUUUUUUUUGUCUUUUUGCCAUUUCUUGGGCCACUCCCGCGGCAUGUGGAGGUUCCCAGGCUAGGAGUCUAAACGGAGCUGUAGCUGCCAGCCUAUGCCAGAGCCAAAGCAACGUGGGAUCCGAGCCACGUCUGCGACCUACACCACAGCUCACGGCAACACCAGAUCGUCAACCCACUAAGCAAGAGCAGGGAUCGAACCCACAAUCUCAUGGAUCAUAGUCAGAUUCAUUAACCACUGCACCAAGACGGGAACUCCAGGUGUGUAGCUUCUUAAGAUGAGGUAACAUUUAGGAACAUAUAGAAUUUUUGUAAAAAAUUGUGAUUGGUGGCCUUUUUAAUUUGAAGAUGUGUGACUGUUUUCAGCUCUGGGAAUUUCCAUCUUUGCCUCCUUAUUUAUUCUGCUCAGGACUUAAUUGGCUGUCCUUUUGUGACUAAAAUUAAAUAUCUAUUAGAAUUUUUUACUGUACCCUCUGUAUCUCAUCUCUUUUCCAUCUUCAACCUCUCCCUGCUACACUCUGGACUUUUUUUUUUUUUUUUUUUUUUUUUUGCCGCACCCCCAGCAAGUGGAAGUUCUCAGGCCAGGGAUUGAACCAGUGGCACAGCAGUGACCUGAGCCACAGCAGUGACAACACUGGAUCCUUAACCCACUGUGUCACCACAGAAACCCUGGACUUUUAUUCUUAUAUAUCUUUUGGUUCACUCUUUCUUUAUUGCUUUGUUUAAUCUUCUGUUCAACCUGUCCUGAGUUAAGAACCUGUGUUCUUAAUUUUGGCCAUUGUAUUUUCUGUUCUAGAAUUCCUAUUUGAUUGCUUUUCAAAUCUGCAGUGUCACCUUUAUAGUUUACACCUCCUUGCCAAAUUUUUAAAACGUAUCUUUUAUCGCCUUGAAUAUAGCAGGCAUUGGAGCUUUAUGGUGUGUCGUAUCUAUUCAAAUUUAGAGUAUCUCUGAGUCUGUUUCUGUUGUCUGUUAUCUCUGCUGGCUCUUGCAAAUGGUGUUUUGUCUUUUUUGUGUGUCUAGUUAUUUUUGAUUGUGUCCCAAACAUUUAUUUUUAAAACUUAUGGAAGUAAUUUGAGGCCUGAAAUGAUUAUUAUCUUUGUUAUGAGACAAGUUUUAUUUGUUCCUGCAUCACAGGAGUGUAUUAGCAAUCUGGGAUCACCUUAAACCAAGCAUGUAUUGACUGACACUUUUUAGCCUCUAGAUGUUAUAAAACUGGGCUGUAGCCUGUGUGAGGGCUGAUUUGCUUCCAGUUUACCUUUACACUUAGGCUGCAGUUCUUCAGGAUCCCACCUAAAAGUACAGAAAACUGCUCUGACCUUGUCCCUUGAUCUCUGAGAGGCUGUCAGUAAUGAGUACAUGUUCUCAGCAAGUGUCUCCUCCAUCCAAGUAAUGUGAGUGUCAGACUUACUUCCCUGACUUCGUUUCUUUCCCCAGAACUUUUUCCUUAAAGUAGAAGUCUCUCUCUCCCUCUCUCUCUUUCUCUCAUUCUCUUCCCCUUGUAAAUUGAAAGAAGAUUUUCUUUGCCAAAAGGAGAAUAAAAUCUCCCUGUGAAACCUCUCCAUGUAAUGAGAACUCCUCCUGCAUCUUAAGCAAGGAUUUCCACACCAGCUGAUUAAGAGAAUCAGUAGAGAAGCUUUCAAAUGGUCCAGCUCUGGGAUGUGUGCCCUUCAGUAACUGAAGACUUCCUCAGGAUCUGUGACCACAAAUGAUUUUAAGGUAAUUUCCAGAUCCCCAGUGUCCAUAGGUACUUUUUCUUCAGAAACCACCGAUGCUUAGAGCCCCUUUCCUACUCUUAGCUACCUGGGUGGACACUGAAGCCAAAUCUAGCUGAUCAGAGUUCACAGCCCUUCUGGCUUUAGUAGUUUUGGUGUAUCCAUGCAAUUGAAUCAAGGACAAUCAGAAUCUUGCCUGGGAUUUUUUUUUUUUUUUUUUUUUUUUUUUUUUUNUUAAGAGCCAUCAGGAAAGAUUUGUACCUUCCACUGUGGUUACUGAAGGGGGAGAUAUGAGUCUGACAUUGCUGGUAGCCAUCUUGCUUUCUCUAUAGAAAGCCUUUUUAAGAGAAGGAGGGAAGGAUGAGAGAGAAACAGAUUUCUGACAACUUGAUAAAACUUCUGAAUCUUGGGCUGGGCACUAGUUUCAUCCCUGGACUCCACAGUUAAGUGAGACAAUACAUCCUGUUUUUUCUAUUUCAGCUAGUUUGAGUUGGGUUUAUAUCACUGGCACAUGAUGAAUGCUCUGUCCCUCCAUCCUAGGGAGACUGGUGUUUCUAGGCACGUUGCCAAGGCAAGAACUCAGGCUCAGAGGAAGAAGGCAGAUGCUCAGCUGUGACACCUGGGGCAUCUGGUCUGAUGGGACCAGAAGCACACUAUUAAACUGGGAGGAUAUAAAAUACAGACAGGGCAUAGGCCCACAAUCUCUUUUCUGUUCUCCUGAAAGACAUCACUAAUGGAUCACAGCAUUUUUUCCUACAGAGUCAGGACAAAUCAUUGCAAUCUUAUGUUUAAUAUUGACUGCCAGGCAACUACUGUUAUUGAUUUGAAUGUGUAUGUAUUUCCCACUCUGGAUUUAAUGCCUGGAGACAUGCAUUUGUCUAAGAACUGGGCUUGAACUUGGAGGGUAACCUAGUUUUAGUUGGGAUUUCUUUCUUGUGGAUAUUUUCAGAGUAUGCUUAGUCGAUUAUUAUUAAAACACUGUGAAUAUGAUUAAUGAUAACUCAUUGAGCUUUCUUUUUAAAUAUUUUAAAUAUUCUACAUGUAACUGCCAAUUUGUCUCCUGAAUCCAUGUCUUUCCAUUGGUAUCUUUGUUUCUUUUAGAUAUUCCAAAGUAAUGAUAUUUUCAGUUGGUUUAAAGUGUUGCCAAGCACUGCUAUUUUUGGAGUUGUCUCUCUGUCAUUUACAGAGAAUGCCUAGGAGAUUUUGAAGCAGACACAAUGGCAUAUCACUUGGCAGUUACAGGUUUUCCUCCUGCAGUGGCACAUUGCUUCCUUUCUCUAACCACCUUAAUUUCCUGCACUUAUCAAUCUGAAAAUCAACAGUAAUAGUCUGUUAUGUGGAUUUUCAUUUAAUCUUUCAUGUUUAAGUUCAACCAUUUCCCCAUAACCAAACAAGCAGAUGUCCUGCACAACUGAUUCAAGUGCAGUUGCUAAGAGCUUUUGUAACAGAGUUUCAUGGGCUUUAGCAAUAAGUUAGGACAACCAAAUAUCAUUAAAAUCUCUACCUAUUUCCAAGCUUUCUUUAAGUCUAUUACAUAUUAUGGAAGAAAUGUUAAUUAUGUUAUUGCUGUAGAAAUAGUAGUUGUUUUGUCUCAGGAUUCUAAUUUAGAUUAAAUUUAAGAUAUCUUAGGACAAAUAAAAAAACUAUCCAAUGCUUUUUAAAAAUAUUAUAUCAGAAAGAUCACCAUCAAAUAUGCAAUGAUAGGGUUGAAAGUUCAUUCACUUUGGCUAAUUAUAAUAGUUACUAUGACUCAUUAUCAUCAACCUCAGUUUUAAUAGCUAACAUUUAUUUAGCAUUUCUUUGUGCCAGACACUAUACAGUGCUUUACUUGCAUUAUUACAUUUCACCCAAACAUAA